GACGAACGCUGGCGGCGUGCUUAAUACAUGCAAGUAGAACGCUGAAGGAGGAGCUUGCUUCUCCGGAUGAGUUGCGAACGGGUGAGUAACGCGUAGGUAACCUGCCUGGUAGCGGGGGAUAACUAUUGGAAACGAUAGCUAAUACCGCAUAAGUGUAGAUGUCGCAUGACAUUUGCUUAAAAGGUGCAACUGCACCACUACCAGAUGGACCUGCGUUGUAUUAGCUAGUUGGUGAGGUAACGGCUCACCAAGGCAACGAUACAUAGCCGACCUGAGAGGGUGAUCGGCCACACUGGGACUGAGACACGGCCCAGACUCCUACGGGAGGCAGCAGUAGGGAAUCUUCGGCAAUGGACGGAAGUCUGACCGAGCAACGCCGCGUGAGUGAAGAAGGUUUUCGGAUCGUAAAGCUCUGUUGUAAGAGAAGAACGAGUGUGAGAGUGGAAAGUUCACACUGUGACGGUAUCUUACCAGAAAGGGACGGCUAACUACGUG
rnacentral:rRNA from 1 species